UACGUAGGUGGCAAGCGUUGUCCGGAUUUAUUGGGUUUAAAGGGUGCGUAGGCGGCCCUGUAAGUCAGUGCUGAAAUAUCCCGGCUUAACCGGGAGGGUGGCAUUGAUACUGCGGGGCUAGAGUACAGAUGAGGUAGGCGGAAUUGACGGUGUAGCGGUGAAAUGCUUAGAUAUCGUCAAGAACACCUAUAGCGAAGGCAGCUUACUAGGCUGUAACUGACGCUGAGGCACGAAAAGUGUGGGGAGUCAAACAGG
rnacentral:rRNA from 1 species